rnacentral:rRNA from 1 species
AUUGAACGCUAGCGGGAUGCUUUACACAUGCAAGUCGAACGAGUGGCGGACGGGUGAGUAAUAUAUCGGAACGUGCCCAGUAGCGGGGGAUAACUACUCGAAAGAGUGGCUAAUACAGCAUACUAUUGGAGCGGCCGAUAGCGGAUUAGCUAGUUGGUUGGGUAAAGGAUCACCAAGACAACGCUCCGUAGCAGGGUUGCGAGGAAGAACAGCCACUCUGUGACUGAGACACGUCCCAUACUCCUACGGGAGGCAGCAGUGGGGAAUUGUGGACAAUGGGGGAAACCCGGAUCCCGCCAUCCCGCGUGUAUGAGAAGGCCUUCGGGUUGUAAAGUACUUUUGGCAGAGAAGCGGUAUCUGCAGAAUAAGCACCGGCUAACUACGUGCCAGCAGCCGCGGUAAUUC